CGCCUCCCCUCCCCGACCGCGCCUCCCCUCCCCGACAGCCGACCGUGCCUCCCCUCCCCGACCGCACCUAUCCCCUCGCCACCACUAACCACCGCCCCUACCCUCGACGACCGGAGGCUCCGUAGCACCUGUCGCCGCCCCGACCCACCGCCCCUCCUCGUGCUUCCCCGAGCCACCCAUCCCUCCGUCGUCGGUAGGCCGCGCCGAGAUCCAGGCUGCGGCGGACUUCGAGGGGAGCCCACGGGUGAAUUUAUUUGAGUAUCCAUGCUGCACUGGAUUUAAUUAUGGAGAAGCAUCAAAUUCUGCAAGACAUUGCAGGUUGCAAGUAUCAUUAGGAGAUUUGCUCAACUUCAAGUUCUUCAAUUUCGACUCAUGCAAGAUUGGUGAUUAGACAUCUUAUGGCUCUCAGCGAACUACAUCCAGGUUAGUCAGCCACUGGGCAAUGGUGACCAUACUGGCAGCGUCAUCUACUUUCUCGUGCUCUCCCCCUCCAGCCAGGCACUACAACCUCUGUUCAAGACGCGCGAAGCCAACUGGGAAGACAA